rnacentral:rRNA from 1 species
UAAGGAAUAUUGCGCAAUGGGCGAAAGCCUGACGCAGCGACGCCGCGUGGGGGAUGAAGGUCUUCGGAUUGUAAACCCCUUUCGGGAGGGAAGAUGGAAUGGGGUAACCCAUUCGGACGGUACCUCCAGAAGCAGCCACGGCUAACUUCGUGCCAGCAGCCGCGGUAAUACGAAGGUGGCAAGCGUUAUUCGGAUUUACUGGGCGUACAGGGAGCGUAGGCGGUUCGGUAAGCCCUCUGUGAAAUCUUCAGGCUUAACCUGGAAAAGUCGGAGGGGACUGCUGGGCUAGAGGACGGGAGAGGAGCGCGGAAUUCCCGGUGUAGCGGUGAAAUGCGUAGAGAUCGGGAGGAAGGCCGGUGGCGAAGGCGGCGCUCUGGAACGUUUCUGACGCUGAGGCUCGAAAGCGUGGGGAGCAAACAGGAUUAGAUACCCAAGUAGUCCCUGAGCGGGCUGGCAAGGCGCAU